GCUUCCAUAGCUCAGUUGGUAAGAGCACGAGACUCUGAAUCUCAGGGUUGUGGGUUCGAGACCCACGUUGGGGGAA